CGCUUCUUUUGAAGCAACUGCCGCACUUAAUACGACCGUAUCCCCAUAACGAACUAAUACUGCUCCAUUGGCUUGUUUGGCUAAUUGGCCAACUUCGAUCUCUAAGGGACGUCCGCCCCAUGUCGUUUUAAAAACUUGUUUUUCUGACAUAAAUACUCCUUUUCUUUCUCGUGAACGCUA
rnacentral:ncRNA from 1 species